AGCGAACGCUGGCGGCAGGCUUAACACAUGCAAGUCGAACGCCCCGCAAGGGGAGUGGCAGACGGGUGAGGAACACGUGGGAAUGUGCCCUUUGGUUCGGAAUAACUCAGGGAAACUUGAGCUAAUACCGAAUAAGCGCGAAAGCGGAAAGAUUUAUCGCCGAAGGAGCAGCCCGCGUCUGAUUAGCUUGUUGGUGAGGUAACGGCUCACCAAGGCGACGAUCAGUAGCUGGUCUGAGAGGAUGAUCAGCCACACUGGGACUGAGACACGGCCCAGACUCCUACGGGAGGCAGCAGUGGGGAAUAUUGGACAAUGGGCGCAAGCCUGAUCCAGCCAUGCCGCGUGAGUGAUGAAGGCCUUAGGGUUGUAAAGCUCUUUUGUCCGGGAAGAUAAUGACUGUACCGGAAGAAUAAGCCCCGGCUAACUUCGUGCCAGCAGCCGCGGUAAUAC
rnacentral:rRNA from 1 species